GUGCCAGCCGCCGCGGUAAGACGAGGGAUCCUAGCGUUGUUCGGAAUCAUUGGGCGUAAAGCGGGUGUAGGUGGCUUUGUAAGUCGGGUGUGAAAGCCCAGGGCUUAACCCUGGAAGUGCAUUCGAUACUGCAAAGCUUGAGUGCUAGAGAGGUAAGUAGAAUACCUGGUGUAGUGGUGAGAUACGUAGAUAUCAGGUGGAACACCGGAGGCGAAGGCGGCUUACUGGCUAGACACUGACACUCAGACCCGAAAGCGUGGGGAUCAAACAGGAUUAGAUACCCUGGUAGUCCACGCCAUAAACGAUGGAUACUUGUCGUUGGAGGUAUUGACCCCUUCAGUGACGCAGCUAACGCGUUAAGUAUCCCGCCUGGGGAGUACGGUCGCAAGAUUAAAACUCAAAUAAAUUAACGG
rnacentral:rRNA from 1 species